rnacentral:tRNA from 1 species
CAAGGAGUAGUUUAAUAGAAUUCUGGCUUUGGGAGCCAGGGGUAGGAGUUAGACCCUCUUCUCUUUGA